rnacentral:rRNA from 1 species
CACGUAGGGCGCGAGCGUUGUCCGGAAUUAUUGGGCGUAAAGGGCUCGUAGGCGGUCUGUUGCGUCGAGAGUGAAAUCCCAUGGCUUAACUGUGGGUCUGCUUUCGAUACGGGCAGGCUAGAGGUAGGUAGGGGAGAGUGGAAUGUCCGGUGUAGCGGUGGAAUGCGCAGAUAUCGGACGGAACACCGGUGGCGAAGGCGGCUCUCUGGGCCUUACCUGACGCUGAGGAGCGAAAGCGUGGGGAGCGAACAGG